GUGAGUCAUCGAGUCUUUGAACGCACCUUGCGCUCCCUGGUAUUCCGGGGAGCACGCCUGUUCGAGUGUCAUGAAACUCUCAAACAAGAUAGAUUUGUUUCUUAUCUCUGUUUGGAUUUGGACUUUGCUGCAUCAAUGCGGCUUGUCUUAAAUGCAUUAGCUGAUCCUGAUGGAAGGUUUUGGUUCUACUCAGCGUGAUAGCUCUUAUCUAACGUUGAGGACAGUCUCUCUGUAGACUGGCCAGGGCUUUCUUUGGAUUGCUUCUAAUCGUCUUUGGACAUUGUCUUGAUUAUCUGACCUCGAAUCAGGUGGGACUACCCGCUGAACUUAAGCAUAUCAAUAAGCGGAGG
rnacentral:rRNA from 1 species